ACUUCCUCCUGGACUCUUAUGAGGACUCAGCUCAUUUUCUGGUAUUAAUGUGCAUGUUGAAAACAAGCUGGGAGAAUCUGUAGCUUCAGGUUGCUGACUAUUUGAACAACCCAGGCAAGAGGUUCAGUCUUUGAAGUCAUUUUCCCUUUGGGAGCUUGACAGCCACCUGCCAGCCACAUUUGCGCCCUUCACCACAUUGUGAUCUCUGAAUGAACUCUUCCUACUGAUGCCUAGCAGCCUCUAUUCCAGAUCAAUUCUGUGGUAGGCAAAAUAGUGGCCUCUCGAAUAUCCACAUCCCCAGAACCUGCGAAAGACCUCCAGGAAAAGAAUGGAGCCCUGACAUCACCUUGAUUUUUAGCUUAGUGAGACCCAAUGUUGGACUUCUGAAUUCCAGAAAGUUGCAAACUAUUUGUUGAAAAGACUUUGUUUUCCCCAUUAAACUGCACCAGCAUCAUUCAACCAUAGCACAGACUACCUCAUUCCUGACUUCCAUGCUGAAUUCCCUUCAGGGUGUGUCAAAACUGCACCCAUGGAGCAGUUCCAGGCAUGGAGAAGUUCCAGAACCAGGAAUCAAACCUGCACCGUAGCUGCAACUGAAGUCACAGCAGUGACAAAGCUGGAUCCUUAACCUGCUGCACCACCAGGGAACUCUAAUUUUUUCUAAUAUUUUAAUUCUAUCUUUUCUAAUUAGAAAAAAAUAGAUAUUACUAUUGCCAUUGUUGUUUACAUGUCACAUUGGUUUAGAAUUGCCCACAUAUUGUCUUUCUCUAACAAAAGAUCUGAUAAAUAAUCACAUCUACUUGUUCAGACUCUGAACUAAUUAAAAGAUAAGCAAGGAUUCAAAUAUAUGGGGAAAAAAUGACAUAUUCAAGAAUGUGGCUUAAAUCUGCAGGCAAGAGAGUUUCAUGAUACUGAGCCACAGAAAGAAACUUUAUCCACACUCCAAUGAAAAUAGGGGUCCAUCUCAAUGUGAGAGUACUCCCCUAGAAAUAUGGAUCGAGGAUCAGCAUGGACCUUGUGCAUGCUAGCCAUAGGCAUCUGAUUACAAACAGUGUACAGCACCAGUUCUUUUGUUAUAUAUUAAGUACCAUAUAACAGCAAGUUUUGUAAUCAAUGUAUAAUCCUCUGUUCUGCCCAUUUCUUAAGAAUUUGUAGCACUUAAAUGAAGAUGAAAGUUUAAAUCUGCUUUUCUUUUUAGGGCUGUACUAUGGCAUAUGGAAGUUUCUGGGCUAGGGGUUGAAUUGGAGCUGCAGGUGCCUGCCUACACCACAGCCACAGCAAAGCUGGAUCCAAGCCACAUUGCAACCUACACCACAGCUCAUGGCAAUGCCAGAUCUUUAGCCCAUUGAGUGUGGCCAGGGAUCAAACCCAAGUCUUCAUGGAUACUAGUCACGUUCGUUACCACUGAGCCACAACAGGAACUCCUAAAAUGAUUUUCUUAAACUACAAUUCUCUGAUAAUAUUUUUAAAUUUUUUUUAUAAUUUCUAGGGAGAACAAGAUAUCAAAGGGUUGACACAGGAGCAUAUAACACUGUGGUAUUUAAAAUAUAUAGCAAAUAGCUAUAUAUAUAUAUAUAUAGAAAGAGAGAGAGAGAGAGAGCGCACGAGACAGAGAGAGAGAAGUGUUUUCAACGAAUUCUAGGGGUCAAGAUCAGAGCUCUUUCCUUGAAGAACUGAGCUAGUAGGCAAAUCAUUUAAGUAAUGAUUGUGCAAAGGAUAUAUAAGAAUCAGGCAUUAAAGCUGAGGUAAAAUCAGGGAUAGCACAUUGAAAUUUUGGCAGAAAUGAUAUCAUUAAUAUACAGGCCAAAGUUUAAAAUUUAAUCAGAAAGCUAAAUAUUGCACUAGCUUCAGGAUGGGACUAGGCGUUCUCUUGUGGUACAGCAGGUUAAGGACCCAGUGUCACCACUGCUAUAGCAUGGAUUUGACCCCUGGCUUGGGAACUUCCACAUGCCACAGGUGUGGUCAAAAUCUUAAAUAAAUCAAUAAAGGAUGGAUUAGUGUUCCAUGACUGUCCUAUAUGGAAAAUGAGAUGAUGACCAGCACCUAGAGACACAAGUGUGGCAGGAGUCAGAAUUAACUGGCCCACUCUACUUGUAGAAUAAAAUCUUUUUCUAAAACCCACAAACUAAUAGAUUAGGGUUUGGAGGGCAAGUCAGCAAGAGUAGCUCCUUAUCUACAUGGGUCAGGCCCAUUGAUUGUUUACAAGUGAAGAGAUGGAAUAUAAUACAUAUUAGUAGUGGACAUGACCCUUGGCCAAGAAUUCCAGAGUCUUCCUUGCACAUGCUAUUUACAUGAAGUACUGCAAUAGUCAGAGUAUACCACCUCCAUGGAUGUCUCUAGUAGAUGAGAAUUUAAGACUGUACAGAGAGAGCAAAAUGAGCAUGGGAAGGAAAGUAUAGUUAGUUCACAGAACUUUCAGUGCUGUAGCUGCUAUUCAGUGUGAUGGGUGGAAAUAAACCACCCCAUGGGAGUGGAAUCUGUCCAGAGAAAGAGAGAAAUGGCUUAUGUGGAAAAAUGUUGGUUGGAGAAGCAUUUGACAGUUUUCAUCAGUUAUUAACACAAAGGUCAGAGAGAAUAAGUGUAGAGGGGGGAAAAGUGGGAAAAGUUUGGAAAAGUAAUAUCUAGAUUUUUAGAGGGAUUCUGAAGCCAUGAAUACCAAGGCUGGUCAGCAUGUUUUUUUUUUUGUUUUUUUUGUUUGUUUUUUGUUUUGUUUUGUUUUUUGCUGAGAAAAACAGCAAGAGAAAACCAGCAAGAGAAAACAGAAGGUCGAUGUACUGAUGGAGUGAAGAUGAAUUUUUUCAAUCAUCUGACAACAAAUAUAUGCUUCAUGUGUUG
rnacentral:lncRNA from 1 species